rnacentral:misc_RNA from 1 species
GAUGAAGAACGUAGCGAAAUGCGAUACUUGGUGUGAAUUGCAGAAUCCCGUGAACCAUCGAGUCUUUGAACGCAAGUUGCGCCCGAAGCCAUUAGGCCGAGGGCACGCCUGCCUGGGCGUCACACGUCGUUGCCCCCCCAUCUACUCCUUCGGGAUUGCGGGGGGCGGAUGAUGGCCUCCCGUGCGCCUCGCCGCGCGGUUGGCAUAAAUGCCAAGUCCUCGGCGACGCACGCCACGACAAUCGGUGGUUGCGAAACCUCGGUUGCCCGUCGUGUGCGGUCGUCGCGCAUCGAGGGCUCGAAAAAAUUGCCGGGUUGCGGCUCGGCUUUCAACGCGACCCCAGGUCAGGCGGGGUUACCCGCUGAAUUUAAGCAUAUCAAUAAGCGGGGA